rnacentral:rRNA from 1 species
GAUGAACGCUGGCGGCGUGCUUAACACAUGCAAGUCGAACGAAGCACUUUAUUUGAUUUCCUUCGGGACUGAUUAUUUUGUGACUGAGUGGCGGACGGGUGAGUAACGCGUGGGUAACCUGCCUUGUACAGGGGGAUAACAGUUGGAAACGGCUGCUAAUACCGCAUAAGCGCACGGCAUCGCAUGAUGCAGUGUGAAAAACUCCGGUGGUAUAAGAUGGACCCGCGUUGGAUUAGCUAGUUGGUGAGGUAACGGCCCACCAAGGCGACGAUCCAUAGCCGACAUGAGAGGGUGACCGGAGACAUUGGGACUGAGACACGGCCCAAACUCCUACGGGAGGCAGCAGUGGGGAAUAUUGCACAAUGGGCGAAAGCCUGAUGCAGCGACGCCGCGUGAGCGAAGAAGUAUUUCGGUAUGUAAAGCUCUAUCAGCAGGGAAGAUAAUGACGGUACCUGACUAAGAAGCACCGGCUAAAUACGUG